CUGGAUUCCAUCAUGGGUGGGAGAUCCAGUUUCUCUACACUGAGUGCCUUGACCGCUUGCCAGCAGAAGGACCUCACAGUUUGGGUCAAUGAUAUUUAUAGCUAGAAGGUACAUAUGAUUUUUUUUUUUACACGCUUUCCAGAGGUCUCUUUUCUACCCUGAAGUCAACUGCCUGAAGAACAGUGAGGCUAUAAACCAUCUGUAACCCCAUGACAGACCUCCAUGGCUUGUAACAGGACCUCUCCAUACAACCAUUCACAUUUAGCAGGCUUGUGGUCACAGUGGUUUUUGCCCAGAGGACACACGAACCGUUGUCUGAAGGUGUCCGGUUCCUGAGGAGGGGCUGAAGAAGGGCAGGCAGCAUGGCUUAACUCCAAACUCAUCGUAGAGUAAAGCAGGGACCUCAUCCAGCAGCGAUUACGGAGGAGCUGCACGGGGUGAGACGGCAGCUCUUCAUCCCCCGACUUUUUAAUUUCCAGCCGAGGAGAAUGCAGCCCUCCCCUCCGGCCGCCCUAUAAUGAGAGCCAGCAUGUGGGCUGCCUGCUGAGCACCACAGGACGAGCACAGCUGCCACGAGGAAAGGAUUCACCCCGGGGCAUCAGGAAUGGCCUCCCCAUUGCCCAGGAGCUGCCAAACAGAGCUGCACGCAGCGUGCAGGGAACCCAUGUAGGACAGAGCCAUCUGUGGGUGCCAGCCAAGAAAUUCAUAUUUCAUGGGAGGUGGAAGUGAGUCCCCGCAGUAGCGGCGUGGCGGAGGGGUGCCAAGGUCCGGGUUGAAGGAUGCGGCAGCACCCUGCUGGUGCCUGGCAGUCCACAGUGCACCGUGCCCAUCCCUGCACCCGGCCCCACAGCACCGUGCCAUGACGGGCGGACAGGAGGCAGCAGCAGGACGGGCGUGUGGGGCUGUG
rnacentral:lncRNA from 1 species